CCUACGGGAGGCAGCAGUGAGGAAUAUUGGUCAAUGGCCGCAAGGCUGAACCAGCCAAGCCGCGUGAAGGACGACGGUGCCAAGCAUUGUAAACUUCUUUUGUCCAGGGACAAAAUCAGGCUCGCGAACCUGACCGAGAGUCCUUGAAGAAAAAGGAUCGGCUAACUCCGUGCCAGCAGCCGCGGUAAUACGGAGGAUCCGAGCGUUAUCCGGAUUUAUUGGGUUUAAAGGGAGCGUAGAUGGGUUGUUAAGUCAGUUGUGAAAGUGUGCGGCUCAAACGUCAAAUUGCAAUUGAUACUGGCAGGCUUGAGUAGAGUUGAGGUAGGCGGAAUGCGUGGUGUAGCGGUGAAAUGCUUAGAUAUCACGAAGAACUCCGAUUGCGAAGGCAGCUUACUAAACUGCCACUGACAUUGAUGCUCGAAAGUGUGGGGAUCAAACAGGAUUAGAUACCCUUGUAGUC
rnacentral:rRNA from 1 species